UUAAAGAUGGAUGCAGUGUAGAAAGUGGUUUCCUGGGAGUUCCAUGGAAGGGUGAUUGGUGCGACCCAUGAAUGGACCUUCUCAAUACUGGAAGUAUAUGAUAAGGAUUGAUAGAGGCGUGCACUGGAGGAGCAUUGACGUCCAUGAUAAGGGAAGGCACAUGAUCUAAUCAGAUCAUGUAUAAGGUAACCGGUUUAUAAUUACUAUUCGG
rnacentral:lncRNA from 1 species